rfam:Schistosoma curassoni strain Dakar, Senegal genome assembly, scaffold: SCTD_contig0003346
AUCCAUCUGACGAGUCGCAAAUAAGACAAGACGCGUGUCAUAGAU